rnacentral:rRNA from 1 species
UGGGGAAUUUUGGACAAUGGGCGAAAGCCUGAUCCAGCAAUGCCGCGUGUGUGAAGAAGGCCUUCAGGUUGUAAAGCACUUUUGUCCGGAAAGAAAUCCUCUGGGUUAAUACCUCGGGGGGAUGACGGUACCGGAAGAAUAAGCACCGGCUAACUACGUGCCAGCAGCCGCGGUAAUACGUAGGGUGCAAGCGUUAAUCGGAAUUACUGGGCGUAAAGCGUGCGCAGGCGGUUUUGUAAGACGGAUGUGAAAUCCCCGGGCUUAACCUGGGAACUGCAUUCGUGACUGCAAGGCUAGAGUAUGGCAGAGGGGGGUAGAAUUCCACGUGUAGCAGUGAAAUGCGUAGAGAUGUGGAGGAAUACCGAUGGCGAAGGCAGCACCCUGGGCCAAUACUGACGCUCAUGCACGAAAGCGUGGGGAGCAAACAGGAUUAGAUACCCUGGUAGUCCACGCCCUAAACGAUGUCAACUAGUUGUUGGGGAUUCAUUUCCUUAGUAACGUAGCUAACGCGUGAAGUUGACCGCCU